AGCCAGCACCGCUGGUGUCAGCAGCAACCUGUGAGCGUGCAGCAGCAGCACAGCAGAGCACAUCGGGGUUUCUCUGCUGGGGUUUGGAGAUGGGGCCCUGGGUCUGGGAACGGUCAUGAAGACUUAAGGGACAGGAGCAGCCCUAUAGAUGACAGCACCAUGGGAUCAGGGCAGCGUCUGGUUUAUAAGGUACAACACCAGCAUCUUCCCAACCUGCAAACAGGCAUAAAAACACGCAAGGAUGGAUAAAAGACGAGACCCACCCUAGCCUCCCCUUAACACACAAUCCAGGUGGCUCUGUGCUGUUGUGCUGCCCAGUGCCCCGCUUUGCAGCAGCAGCAGGAGGCUCCCCGGCUCCUCCCCAGGAGAGCUGCUAUGCUGGCGGCGACAAGGACAUCAUCGGGGCCAGGGAUGUCCUCCCACCCGCACCGCAUACCUCUUUCCGGCCCCAAAGCCCACAACAAACCCAGACAGACGCAGUUCUGCGAUAACCGUUCAAAUCAGCACUUCCUGCCCCAUUUCUCGCCCUGCAUUGCCACCUGGUGACCGCGGGAAGCAGAGCAGCUGCCUUUCAGUUCCCGUUAGCCGUGCCUGCAGAACGUUCUCGGCUGAAGGAGUUCUUUAAAAACAGGGUACUGAAACCGUUUAGCAACAGGAAACGAGACAAGAGGAUUUACGCACAUGGAUGUUGCCGUGUUCGUAUCUCUGCUGAUAAUGCUAGGUUAGUAUUUGAAGGACACUAAUUACUCAUUCAUUUCCUUUUCUGGAUGCCCAUCUCAGUGAGCACGAAGCACAGCCAGGGCAGCCCGAAGGCCAAGCUGGGUUGCAGAGUGGAUGCCAGCUUGUAUCCCCCAGCCAGUGAUGGUGGAGGACAGCUCAACCACAGCGCCCAAAACAGACAAGGAAAAAAAUCAAGCAAGAUUCUUCUCCUUUGCUGGCUUGGCCGUUGAGGAACCACACCAGUGCCCAGAGCUCUCAAGUGGGGCCCCAGGGCCAGCCUGGGUGACUUCGUCCUCACCUUUUGGAGAAGGCUUUGUAGCCCGGAGCACAGCACAGCCCUUGUACAGCGAGGGGAACGGGCUGCCACAGCCCCAACACCUAGCUGAGUGAGGUCUCCUAAGGAAUGACAACAGCUGCAUUAGGCAGCUCUAUAAACAGACCACAAUAAUUUCAUCUAGACAGAUGAUUAAGUGUACAGGAGAAAACACACACAGCUUUCCCUUUGGGUUUCUCAAGCCACGGUGGCUGACCUGCUCCAUCUGCUGGGCUGAAAAGAGCUCACCACAUAAGCCUAGCUCAGCCAAGCAGCACUUGUGCUUAGCAGAGCACCACGAGGCAGCCCUGGGUUCAGGCACCAAUUAGCUCUCAGUGCUGGUCCCAUUGCUGGGAUUAAUUGUGCCCCGAAUAGAAGUGAAGUGGGAAAAAGAAGGGUGACGUGCGGAACACGAGGAGGGGAUUUUGUGUUUUCAUGGUAUCCGUUCUCUUUUCUCAUUUGUUUUUGUGUGUUGGUGUUUCAGGUGUCUGAGUGAGGACUACCCGUAGGAAUGGGUACCAAGAAAACCCCAGGUGAGGAAUGAAGCAACGCGCCUUCGUGCUCUGUUUGAUGGAGGCGGUGGGCGUGAAUGCAGAAUAUCUAGCAUCAGC